UCAAUGUUUACUGUUGCUAUGGCAACAAGGGACUGCUGACGUUAGCAGCUGUUAGCUAGCUUAGCCAAAUCAUCUGAACAAUAAUAACCAAUAAUAUCACAAUUCGGCCUAUUUAAACAAAAUCAACCACAACUACCAACAGUCACAGCCCUUCAACUCUGGGCUAAUAUGUUGUCACAAGUAUGCAGUUAAUUAGGUCACAUCACAUUCAAUGUAAAAACGUUUUCUACUUGGUUUUGGACAUGUCUCAAAAUGUAGCCUAGGCUAACGUUACUUAGCAUAUAUGCCUCCACUCGCUCGUCUCCUGGCGCAGCAGCACCUGCUGGGGUGUGGACCCUGGCACCAAAUAGGUCUGUCAAUUUUGAACAUUUAACUUCCAUCUCCAGAGGCUUAAGUCGCCGUUUUUCAGCACCACCCGGGCGUUUUCAGCUCCGUACCGGCUCCCGGCUCCGGACCAUGCCAUGAGGUCCCGCCAACCCUGGUAUACGUGGUUUGUAGUAGACCUCACAACGGGACUCAAGUAGCAGGGACUUGCCUCUAUGUUCCCAACAAGUCAGGUGCAGUGGAGCCGUGGCCUGUCUGGACAUGUCAGCGAUCUGGGUUUGAAAUCAUCUGAGGGUCCCGGGAG
ensembl:lncRNA